GGAGAGGUGGCAGAGCGGUUGAUUGCACCGGUCUUGAAAACCGGAGGCCGCGCAAGCGGCUCGGGAGUUCGAAUCUCCCCCUCUCCGCCA
rnacentral:tRNA from 1 species